CCUACGGGCGGCUGCAGUGAGGAAUAUUGGUCAAUGGACGAGAGUCUGAACCAGCCAAGUAGCGUGAAGGAUGACUGCCCUAUGGGUUGUAAACUUCUUUUAUAUGGGAAUAAAAUGUUCCACGUGUGGGAUUUUGUAUGUACCAUAUGAAUAAGGAUCGGCUAACUCCGUGCCAGCAGCCGCGGUAAUUCGGAGGAUCCGAGCGUUAUCCGGAUUUAUUGGGUUUAAAGGGAGCGUAGGUGGAUUGUUAAGUCAGUUGUGAAAGUUUGCGGCUCAACCGUAAAAUUGCAGUUGAAACUGGCAGUCUUGAGUACAGUAGAGGUGGGCGGAAUUCGUGGUGUAGCGGUGAAAUGCUUAGAUAUCACGAAGAACUCCGAUUGCGAAGGCAGUUCACUGGACUGCAACUGACACUGAGGCUCGAAAGUGUGGGUAUCAAACAGGAUUAGAUACCCUUGUAGUC
rnacentral:rRNA from 1 species